AAACUUUUAACAACGGAUCUCUUGGCUCUGGCAUCGAUGAAGAACGCAGCGAAAUGCGAUAAGUAAUGUGAAUUGCAGAAUUCAGUGAAUCAUCGAAUCUUUGAACGCACAUUGCGCCCGUCAGCAUUCUGGCGGGCAUGCCUGUUCGAGCGUCAUU
rnacentral:rRNA from 2 species